rnacentral:rRNA from 1 species
ACGAACGCUGGCGGCGUGCUUAACACAUGCAAGUCGAACGGUGAAGCGCCUUCCUUUUUGGUGGGUGUGGAUGAGUGGCGAACGGGUGAGUAACACGUGAGUAACCUGCCCCCUUCUUCUGGAUAACCGCAUGAAAGUGUGGCUAAUACGGGAUAUUCUGGGUCUGUCGCAUGAUGGGUCUGGGAAAGAUAUUGUUUCGGUGGGGGAUGGGCUCGCGGCCUAUCAGCUUGUUGGUGGGGUGAUGGCCUACCAAGGCGGUGACGGGUAGCCGGCCUGAGAGGGUGGACGGUCACACUGGGACUGAGACACGGCCCAGACUCCUACGGGAGGCAGCAGUGGGGAAUAUUGCACAAUGGGCGCAAGCCUUAUGCAGCGACGCCGCGUGAGGGAUGGAGGCCUUCGGGUUGUGAACCUCUUUCGCCAGUGAAGCAGGCCUGCCUCGUUUGUGGGUGGGUUGACGGUAGCUGGAUAAGAAGCGCCGGCUAACUACGUG